rnacentral:rRNA from 1 species
GUCCAGACUCCUACGGGAGGCAGCAGUGGGGAAUAUUGCACAAUGGGGGAAACCCUGAUGCAGCAACGCCGCGUGAGUGAAGAAGUAUUUCGGUAUGUAAAGCUCUCUCAGCAGGGAAGAAAAUGACAGUACCUGACUAAGAAGCCCCGGCUAACUACGUGCCAGCAGCCGCGGUAAUACGUAGGGGGCAAGCGUUAUCCGGAUUUACUGGGUGUAAAGGGAGCGUAGACGGCUGCGCAAGUCAGAAGUGAAAGCCCGGGGCUCAACCGCGGGACUGCUCUUGGAACUGCGCGGCUGGAGUGCAGGAGGGGCAGGCGGAAUUCCUGGUGUAGCGGUGAAAUGCGUAGAUAUCAGGAGGAACACCGGUGGCGAAGGCGGCCUGCUGGACUGCGACUGACGUUGAGGCCCGAAAGCGUGGGGAGCAAACAGGAUUAGAUACCCUAGUA